UUAUGUCCCUAAUUCCGGAGAUGGCUUAAAAAGACUGUCAUACAGGAUCGAAGAAUGGGAUCGAACCCUCAGCAAUUACAUCAAAGAGCUGGAGAAGUCUAAGCCUGUGAUCUUGACGGGUGAUCUAAAUUGUGCUCAUGAGGAAAUAGACAUCUU